GAUGAACGCUGGCGGCGUGCCUAAUACAUGCAAGUCGAGCGAAUGGAUUAAGAGCUUGCUCUUAUGAAGUUAGCGGCGGACGGGUGAGUAACACGUGGGUAACCUGCCCAUAAGACUGGGAUAACUCCGGGAAACCGGGGCUAAUACCGGAUAAUAUUUUGAACUGCAUGGUCCAAAAUUGAAAGGCGGCUUCGGCUGUCACUUAUGGAUGGACCCGCGUCGCAUUAGCUAGUUGGUGAGGUAACGGCUCACCAAGGCAACGAUGCGUAGCCGACCUGUGAGGGUGAUCGGCCACACUUGGACUGAGACACGGCCCAGACUCCUACGGGAGGCAGCAGUAGGGAAUGUUCCGCAAUGGACGAAAGUCUGACGGAGCAACGCCGCGUGAGUGAUGAAGGCUUUCGGGUCGUAAAACUCUGUUGUUAGGGAAGAACAAGUGCUAGUUGAAUAAGCUGGCACCUUGACGGUACCUAACCAGAAAGCCACGGCUAACUACGUGCCAGCAGCCGCGGUAA
rnacentral:rRNA from 1 species